rnacentral:lncRNA from 1 species
GGAUGCGUCCGGUGCACACCGGACUCAUGCGCAGAGAGUUUGUCAAACUCGCGACCUCACCGGACGCUGGGCAUCGGACGGUCCGGUGCUCACCGGACUCGUGCGCAGAGAGGGUUACAAAAACCCCUCACACCGGACGCUAACCAUCGGACGCUACCAGAGUGCGUCCGGUGCUUAACCCUAGCAGAGUCAAGCUCUGACAGCACACCGGACGCUCGGGCCAGCGUCCGGUGCCUCAGCACUGAGCGUCCGGUGAGUGUUUCCAACUGAGAAACACUUCCG